rnacentral:sRNA from 1 species
AAUACCAUGCUGGGUGUGUGUUCGGUGGUGGUGCAGAGUGAAGCCACAGGAACUGAUGAUGUUGUAGGCCCUGAAGGCAUGGAGAAAUUUUGUGAAGACAUUGGUGUUGAACCAGAAAACAUGUGAUACAACAGAAAAACUCAGAAAUACUUUGGAUUACUUAAGAUCAUUCUUAAAUGAUUCUACAAACUUUAAACUUAUUUACAGAUAUGCGUUUGACUUUGCACGGGAAAAGGACCAGCGCAGCCUAGACAUAAACACUGCCAAGUGCAUGUUGGGACUGUUAUUAGGAAAAAUCUGGCCCCUUUUUCCAGUUUUUCACCAAUUCUUAGAGCAAUCAAAAUACAAAGUUAUUAAUAAAGACCAGUGGUGCAAUGUCCUAGAGUUUAGCAGAACAAUUAAUCUUGACCUCAGCAACUAUGAUGAAGAUGGAGCAUGGCCAGUUUUGUUGGACGAGUUUGUGGAGUGGUAUAAAGACAAACAGAUGUCCUAGGACUUUAUGCAUAGCAGCGAGAGAGUCACUGUUACCACAGUUUUGUCACCCAUUAGCC